rnacentral:lncRNA from 1 species
CGCUCGAAAUCAUCACAGUCUUUUUAUUAGAAAAAAAAAAAUACUUUUCAUAAAGUGGCACGGUCUAGAACUCACUGACAUGGCCUAAAACCUGAUGGACUAGAAUCUCCAGCACAGCUCAGAAUCUGACGGCCUAGAACCCACCAGCACAGCCCAGAAUCCACCGGCACAGCUCAGAAGUCAACGGCCCAGAACCCGCUGGUUUGACCUAGAACCUGCCAAUCCGAUCUAAAACCCAA